rnacentral:misc_RNA from 1 species
GAUGAAGAACGCAGCGAAAUACGAUAAGUAAUGUGAAUUGCAGAAUUCAGUGAAUCAUCGAAUCUUUGAACGCACAUUGCGCCCGCCAGUAUUCUGGCGGGCAUGCCUGUUCGAGCGUCAUUUCAACCAUCAAGCCCCCGGGCUUGUGUUGGGGACCUGCGGCUGCCGCAGGCCCUGAAAAGCAGUGGCGGGCUCGCUGUCACACCGAGCGUAGUAGAUUUUAUCUCGCUCUGGGCGUGCUGCGGGUUCCGGCCGUUAAACCACCCUUUUAACCCAAGGUUGACCUCGGAUCAGGUAGGAAGACCCGCUGAACUUAAGCAUAUCAAUAAGCGGAGGA